GCUGCCUACCUCUUUGCAUUUGCAGCGGAGCCCGAGCUAGAGCUAGACCGCGCCAGAGGACCUCAGCAGCCAUGUCAAAGCCCAGUAGUGAAGCCGGGACUACUUUCAUUCAGCCCCAGCAGCUGCACGAAGCCAUGGCCGACACAUUCCUGGAGCAUAUGUGCUGCCUGGACAGCGACUCAACAUCAAUCACAGCCCAUUCUGGAAUGAAUGUGGCUCGUCUGAACUUGUUGCAUGAACUCAUGAGUACCAUGCAGAAACCAUUAAGAAUAUGCGCACAGCCACAGAAAGCUUUGCAUCUGACCCCAUUCUCUACCAGCCAGUUGCUGUGGCUCUGGACACUAAAGGACCUGGGAUUCAAACUGGGCUUAUCAAGGGCAGUGGCACCACGGAGGUGGAGCUGAAGAAAGGAGCCACUCUCAAAAUCACAUUGGACGACACCUACAUGAAGAAGUGUGACAAGACUACCCUGUGGCUGGACUACAAGAACAUCUGCAAGGUGGUAGAGGUGGGCAGCAAGAUCUACGUGAAUGAUGGACUUAUUUCCCUGCUGGUGAAGCAGAAAGGUGCUGACUUCCUGGUGACAGGUGGAAAAUGGUGGCUCCUUGGGCAGCAAGAAGGGUGUAAACCUUCCCAGGGCUGCUGUGGACCUGCCUGCUGUGUCAACAUCCAGGACCUGAAGUUUGUGGUAGAACAGGAUGUAGAUAUGGUGUUUGCAUCUUUCAUCCGCAAGCCUGAUGUCCAUGAAAUCAGGAAGGUCCUAGGAGAGAAAGGAAAGAACAUCAAGAUAAUCAGCAAAAUUGAGAAUCAUGAGGGAAUUCAGAGGUUUGAUGAGAUCUUGGAGGCCAGUGAUGGGAUCAUGGUGACUCGUGGUGACCUAAUCAUUGAGAUUCCUGCAGAGAAGGUCUUCCUUGCUCAGAAGGUGAUGAUCAGGCUAUGCAACCGAGCUAGGAAGCCUGUCUUCUGUGCCACAUAGAUGCUGGAGAGCAUGAUCAAGAAGCCCCGCCCCACCCAGGCGGAGGGCGGCGAUGUGACCAAAGCAGUCCUGAACGAUGCUGACUGCAUCAUGCUGUCUGGAGAAACAGCCAAAGGGGACUAACCUCUGGAAGCUGUUAGCAGGCAGCACCUGAUUGCCCAUGAGGCAGAGGCAAUCAUUUACCACUUGCAAUUAUUUGAGGAACUCUGCCGCCUGGCACCCAUUACCAGCAACCCAACAGAAGCUGCUGCCAUUGGGGCCAUGGAGGCCUUCUUCAAUUACUGCAGUGGGCCAUAAUCAUCCUCACCAAGUCUGGCAGGUCUGCUCACCAGAUGGCCAGAUAAGGCCCAUGUGCCCCUAUUGUUGCUAUGACAAGGAAUCCCCAGACAGCUUGCCAGGCCCACCUAUACCGUGGCAUAUUCCCUGUCUUGUGCAAGGACCCAGUCCAGGAAGCUGAGGAUGUGGACCUCCAGGUGAACUUGGCCAUGAAUGUUGGAAAGGCCCAAGGCUUCUUCAAGACAGGAGAUGUGUCUUGACUUGGUGGUGCCCUGGCUCUGGUUUCACCAACACCAUGGAUGUAGUGCCUGUGCCAUGA